GGGUUGUGAGGUUAAGCGACUAAGCGUACACGGUGGAUGCCCUGGCAGUCAGAGGCGAUGAAGGACGUGCUAAUCUGCGAAAAGCGUCGGUAAGGUGAUAUGAACCGUUACAGCCGGCGAUGUCCGAAUGGGGAAACCCAGUGCAAUUCGUUGCACUAUCGUUAACUGAAUACAUAGGUUAACGAGGCGAACCGGGGGAACUGAAACAUCUAAGUACCCCGAGGAAAAGAAAUCAACCGAGAUUCCCCCAGUAGCGGCGAGCGAACGGGGAGCAGCCCGGAGUCUGAAUCAGCUUGUGUGUUAGUGGAAGCGUCUGGAAAGUCGCAGGGUACAGGGUGAUACUCCCGUACACUAAAACACACAGGUUGUGAACUCGAAGAGUAGGGCGGGACACGUGGUAUCCUGUCUGAAUAUGGGGGGACCAUCCUCCAAGGCUAAAUACUCCUGACUGACCGAUAGUGAACCAGUACCGUGAGGGAAAGGCGAAAAGAACCCCGGCGAGGGGAGUGAAAAAGAACCUGAAACCGUGUACGUACAAGCAGUAGGAGCCCACUUGUUGGGUGACUGCGUACCUUUUGUAUAAUGGGUCAGCGACUUAUAUUCUGUAGCAAGGUUAACCGUAUAGGGGAGCCGCAGGGAAACCGAGUCUUAACUGGGCGUUAAGUUGCAGGGUAUAGACCCGAAACCCGGUGAUCUAGCCAUGGGCAGGUUGAAGGUUGGGUAACACUAACUGGAGGACCGAACCGACUAAUGUUGAAAAAUUAGCGGAUGACUUGUGGCUGGGGGUGAAAGGCCAAUCAAACCGGGAGAUAGCUGGUUCUCCCCGAAAGCUAUUUAGGUAGCGCCUCGUGAAUUCAUCUUCGGGGGUAGAGCACUGUUUCGGCUAGGGGGUCAUCCCGACUUACCAACCCGAUGCAAACUACGAAUACCGAAGAAUGUUAUCACGGGAGACACACGGCGGGUGCUAACGUCCGUCGUGAAGAGGGAAACAACCCAGACCGCCAGCUAAGGUCCCAAAGUCAUGGUUAAGUGGGAAACGAUGUGGGAAGGCCCAGACAGCCAGGAUGUUGGCUUAGAAGCAGCCAUCAUUUAAAGAAAGCGUAAUAGCUCACUGGUCGAGUCGGCCUGCGCGGAAGAUGUAACGGGGCUAAACCAUGCACCGAAGCUGCGGCAGCGACACUAUGUGUUGUUGGGUAGGGGAGCGUUCUGUAAGCCGUUGAAGGUGGCCUGUGAGGGUUGCUGGAGGUAUCAGAAGUGCGAAUGCUGACAUAAGUAACGAUAAUGCGGGUGAAAAACCCGCACGCCGGAAGACCAAGGGUUCCUGUCCAACGUUAAUCGGGGCAGGGUGAGUCGACCCCUAAGGCGAGGCCGAAAGGCGUAGUCGAUGGGAAACAGGUUAAUAUUCCUGUACUCGGUGUUACUGCGAAGGGGGGACGGAGAAGGCUAUGUUGGCCGGGCGACGGUUGUCCCGGUUUAAGCAUGUAGGCGGAUGUUCCAGGUAAAUCCGGAACGUCACUAACGCUGAGGUGUGAUGACGAGGCACUACGGUGCUGAAGUGACAAAUGCCCUGCUUCCAGGAAAAGCCUCUAAGCAUCAGGUAACAUCAAAUCGUACCCCAAACCGACACAGGUGGUCAGGUAGAGAAUACCAAGGCGCUUGAGAGAACUCGGGUGAAGGAACUAGGCAAAAUGGUGCCGUAACUUCGGGAGAAGGCACGCUGAUGGUAGGUGAAGCGACUUGCUCGUGGAGCUGAAAUCAGUCGAAGAUACCAGCUGGCUGCAACUGUUUAUUAAAAACACAGCACUGUGCAAACACGAAAGUGGACGUAUACGGUGUGACGCCUGCCCGGUGCCGGAAGGUUAAUUGAUGGGGUUAUCCGUAAGGAGAAGCUCUUGAUCGAAGCCCCGGUAAACGGCGGCCGUAACUAUAACGGUCCUAAGGUAGCGAAAUUCCUUGUCGGGUAAGUUCCGACCUGCACGAAUGGCGUAAUGAUGGCCAGGCUGUCUCCACCCGAGACUCAGUGAAAUUGAACUCGCUGUGAAGAUGCAGUGUACCCGCGGCAAGACGGAAAGACCCCGUGAACCUUUACUAUAGCUUGACACUGAACACUGGUCCUUGAUGUGUAGGAUAGGUGGGAGGCUUUGAAGUGUGGACGCCAGUCUGCAUGGAGCCAUCCUUGAAAUACCACCCUUUAAUGGCUGGUGUUCUAACGUGGGCCCCUAAUCGGGGUUGCGGACAGUGUCUGGUGGGUAGUUUGACUGGGGCGGUCUCCUCCUAAAGAGUAACGGAGGAGCACGAAGGUCAGCUAAUCCUGGUCGGACAUCAGGAGGUUAGUGCAAUGGCAUAAGCUGGCUUGACUGCGAGCGUGACGGCGCGAGCAGGUGCGAAAGCAGGUCAUAGUGAUCCGGUGGUUCUGAAUGGAAGGGCCAUCGCUCAACGGAUAAAAGGUACUCCGGGGAUAACAGGCUGAUACCGCCCAAGAGUUCAUAUCGACGGCGGUGUUUGGCACCUCGAUGUCGGCUCAUCACAUCCUGGGGCUGAAGUAGGUCCCAAGGGUAUGGCUGUUCGCCAUUUAAAGUGGUACGCGAGCUGGGUUUAGAACGUCGUGAGACAGUUCGGUCCCUAUCUGCCGUGGGCGCUGGAGAAUUGAGGGGGGCUGCUCCUAGUACGAGAGGACCGGAGUGGACGCAUCACUGGUGUUCGGGUUGUCAUGCCAAUGGCAUUGCCCGGUAGCUAAAUGCGGAAGAGAUAAGUGCUGAAAGCAUCUAAGCACGAAACUUGCCCCGAGAUGAGUUCUCCCUGACCCUUUAAGGGUCCUGAAGGAACGUUGAAGACGACGACGUUGAUAGGCCGGGUGUGUAAGCGCAGCGAUGCGUUGAGCUAACCGGUACUAAUGAACCGUGAGGCUUAACCUUACAACGCCGAAG
rnacentral:rRNA from 1 species